rnacentral:rRNA from 1 species
GCCCAAGAGAUCGGGAUAACACCUGGAGACAGAUGCUAAUACCGGAUAACAACAGAUGAUGCCUAUCAACUGUUUAAAAGAUGGUUCUGCUAUCACUCUUGGAUGGACCUGCGGUGCAUUAGCUAGUUGGUAGGGUAACGGCCUACCAAGGCGAUGAUGCAUAGCCGAGUUGAGAGACUGAUCGGCCACAUUGGGACUGAGACACGGCCCAAACUCCUACGGGAGGCAGCAGGC